rnacentral:rRNA from 1 species
UGUGGUGAUGAUGGCAAGAAGGACACACCUGUUCCCAUGCCGAACACAGCAGUUAAGCUUCUUAGCGCCGAUGGUAGUUGGGACUUUGUCCCUGCGAGAGUAGGUCUUUGCCACGC